rnacentral:rRNA from 1 species
GACGAACGCUGGCGGCGUGCUUAACACAUACAAGUCGAACGCUGAAGCUCAGCUUUUGUUGGGUGGAUGAGUGGCGAACGGGUGAGUAACACGUGAGUAACCUGCCCCCUUCUUUGGGAUAACGCCCGGAAACGGGUGCUAAUACUGGAUAUUCACUGGUCUUCGCAUGGGGGUUGGUGGAAAGGGUUUUUCUGGUGGGGGAUGGGCUCGCGGCCUAUCAGCUUGUUGGUGGGGUGAUGGCCUACCAAGGCUUUGACGGGUAGCCGGCCUGAGAGGGUGACCGGUCACAUUGGGACUGAGAUACGGCCCAGACUCCUACGGGAGGCAGCAGUGGGGAAUAUUGCACAAUGGGCGAAAGCCUGAUGCAGCGACGCCGCGUGAGGGAUGGAGGCCUUCGGGUUGUGAACCUCUUUCGCUCAUGGUCAAGCCGCAACAAUGGUUGUGGUGAGGGUAGUGGGUAAAGAAGCGCCGGCUAACUACGUG